rnacentral:rRNA from 1 species
UGAGGAAUAUUGGUCAAUGGCCGAGAGGCUGAACCAGCCAAGUCGCGUGAAGGAAGAAGGAUCUAUGGUUUGUAAACUUCUUUUAUAGGGGAAUAAAGUGGAGGACGUGUCCUUUUUUGUAUGUACCCUAUGAAUAAGCAUCGGCUAACUCCGUGCCAGCAGCCGCGGUAAUACGGAGGAUGCGAGCGUUAUCCGGAUUUAUUGGGUUUAAAGGGAGCGUAGAUGGAUGUUUAAGUCAGUUGUGAAAGUUUGCGGCUCAACCGUAAAAUUGCAGUUGAUACUGGAUAUCUUGAGUGCAGUUGAGGCAGGCGGAAUUCGUGGUGUAGCGGUGAAAUGCUUAGAUAUCACGAAGAACUCCGAUUGCGAAGGCAGCCUGCUAAGCUGCAACUGACAUUGAGGCUCGAAAGUGUGGGUAUCAAACAGGAUUAGAUACCCUGGUAGUCCACACGGUAAACGAUGAAUACUCGCUGUUUGCGAUAUACUGCAAGCGGCCAAGCGAAAGCGUUAAGUAUUCCACCUGGGGAGUACGCCGGCAACGGUGAAACUCAAAGGAAUUGACGGGGGCCCGCACAAGCGGAGGAACAUGUGGUUUAAUUCGAUGAUACGCGAGGAACCUUACCCGGGCUUAAAUUGCAGAUGAAUUACGGUGAAAGCCGUAAGCCGCAAGGCAUCUGUGAAGGUGCUGCAUGGUUGUCGUCAGCUCGUGCCGUGAGGUGUCGGCUUAAGUGCCAUAACGAGCGCAACCCUUGUUGUCAGUUACUAACAGGUUCCGCUGAGGACUCUGACAAGACUGCCAUCGUAAGAUGUGAGGAAGGUGGGGAUGACGUCAAAUCAGCACGGCCCUUACGUCCGGGGCUACACACGUGUUACAAUGGGGGGUACAGAGGGCCGCUACCACGCGAGUGGAUGCCAAUCCCCAAAACCUCUCUCAGUUCGGACUGGAGUCUGCAACCCGACUCCACGAAGCUGGAUUCGCUAGUAAUCGCGCAUCAGCCACGGCGCGGUGAAUACGUUCCC